AACGAACGCUGGCGGCAUGCCUAACACAUGCAAGUCGAACGAGACCUUCGGGUCUAGUGGCGCACGGGUGCGUAACGCGGGGGAACCUGCCCUUAGGUUCGGAAUAAAUCAGAGAAAUUUGAGCUAAUACCGGAUGAUGUCUUCGGACCAAAGAUUUAUCGCCCUUAGAUGGGCCCGCGUUGGAUUAGCUAGUUGGUGGGGUAAAGGCCUACCAAGGCGACGCUCCAUAGCUGGUCAGAGAGGAUGAUCAGCCACACUGGGACUGAGACACGGCCCAGACUCCUACGGGACGCAGCAGUGGGGAAUUUUGGACAAUGGGCGAAAGCCUGAUCCAGCAAUGCCGCGUGAGUGAUGAAGGCCUUAGGGUUGUAAAGCUCCUUUACCCGAGAUGAUAAUGACAGUAUCGGGAGAAUAAGCUCCGGCUAACUCCGUG
rnacentral:rRNA from 1 species